GUUGAGCUGAUGGCUGACCCA
rnacentral:snRNA from 1 species